rnacentral:rRNA from 1 species
AGGGUGUAAACGCUGCGGGCUUGGUGUUGGGGGUCCUUUGAGGGCGCCCAGUGCCGGAGAGAAGUUGUUAAGCCUGCUGCUUGGGGAGUACGUCCGCAAGGAUGAAACUUAAAGGAAUUGGCGGGGGGAGCACCACAACGGGUGGAGCUUGCGGUUUAAUUGGAUUCAACGCCGGAAAUCUUACCGGGACCGACAGCAACAUGAAGGCCAGGCUGAAGACUUUGCCGGAUUAGCUGAGAGGUGGUGCAUGGCGUAGUCGUGU